UUCCACUGAGCACAUCUUGCGGGGUGCACUCUCCCUCUCGUGAGUAUCCCAUUCCUCCAUGGAGGGAACUGGAGAAGAAUGAUGGUAAUGCCUGUCAGGUUUGCAAGCUGUAUGGAAUGGUUUCAGCUAAUGCUAUUCUAUUGUGGCCACAAAUCAGCUGCUGUGGAUGUAGGGAUCCGGAGAUACUGGACUUUGUGUAACAUCGCAAAUCCCUUUUAAGAUGUCUGUUGCUCGGUCGAGUGCCCCACUGUGAUUGGAAUUGAUGUUCUGUACUGGGCAUCUACUGGGGGUCAUAUUUUGGAUGAUGGUUUAAAUACAGCUUGACUGUACAAAGCUGGGUCCGUGUCGGCACACUGCCUCCCUUUCAGUGUUGCUGAUCGGGGUGGUGUUUACGAGCCGACCUGACCUUCGUACCCUGAGGAGAGUAACACUGUUUUUCCCAACCAAUUUAUUAUCAGGCUAAUUUUACUUAUCCCGUUGGUAUUUUAAUUGGGAUUUUAACAAUAUAUUUUGU